ensembl:misc_RNA Metazoa_SRP Metazoan signal recognition particle RNA
GCCGGGCGUGAUGGCGGGCACCUGUAAUCCCAGCUACUUGGGAGGCUGAGGCAGGAGAAUCGCUUGAACCCGGGAGGCAUGGGUUGCAGUGAACUGAGAUCGUGCCACUGCACUCCACCCUGGGCGACAGAGCAAGACCCUGUCUCAA